GGGCACUGGCAGCAAAAACAGCAUGCAAACAGGAAGGCCCGCCUCUGGCCACGGGGUCCAGCAUGCAUGAAUAGUAACCAAUAGGGCACUGACGGGAACCAUGUGACUGCGUAAGGACCCCUGAAGCAUGGCCGAUCUUCUCAGAGACAAAAAGCUUGAAUGGCUUCUGAUAGUUAGGUAGGCCCAAAGCUGGGGCUGAGGAGAUGGCUUUCAGUCUUUAAGGCAUCAUAGAGAGGCUGCAUGAGCUGAGAAGCCGUGGGAAUCCAGGAUCUGCAGUAUGUGAUGAGGCCUAGGAAAGCAUGAAGAGCCUGAUGUGCAG